CUAUAACUCCGAGCGUAGUAGUAAAAUAUCUCGCUAGGGAGGUGUCGCGGGUUCCGGCCGUGAAAGCCCAUCUUUUACACAAGGUUGACCUCGGAUCAGGUAGGAAUACCCGCUGAACUUAAGCAUAUCAAUAAGCGGAGGAAAAGAAACCAACAGGGAUUGCCCCAGUAACGGCGAGUGAAGCGGCAACAGCUCAAAUUUGAAAUCUGGCUUCGGCCCGAGUUGUAAUUUGUAGAGGAUGCUUUUGGUGAGGUGCCUUCUGAGUUCCCUGGAACGGGACGCCAGAGAGGGUGAGAGCCCCGUAUAGUUGGACACCGAGCCUCUGUAAAGCUCCUUCGACGAGUCGAGUAGUUUGGGAAUGCUGCUCAAAAUGGGAGGUAUAUCUCUUCUAAAGCUAAAUACUGGCCAGAGACCGAUAGCGCACAAGUAGAGUGAUCGAAAGAUGAAAAGCACUUUGAAAAGAGGGUUAAAUAGUACGUGAAAUUGUUGAAAGGGAAGCGCUUGUGACCAGACUUGUGCCCGGCUGAUC
rnacentral:rRNA from 1 species